rnacentral:rRNA from 1 species
UGUAUUUAUUAGAUAAAAAACCAAUGCCCUUCGGGGCUUUUUGGUGAUUCAUGAUAACUUUACGGAUCGCAUAGCCUUGCGCUGGCGACGGUUCAUUCAAAUUUCUGCCCUAUCAACUUUCGAUGGUAAGGUAUUGGCUUACCAUGGUUUCAACGGGUAACGGGGAAUUAGGGUUCGAUUCCGGAGAGGGAGCCUGAGAAACGGCUACCACAUCCAAGGAAGGCAGCAGGCGCGCAAAUUACCCGAUCCCGACACGGGGAGGUAGUGACAAUAAAUACUGAUACAGGGCUCUUUUGGGUCUUGUAAUUGGAAUGAGUACAAUUUAAACCUCUUAACGAGGAACAAUUGGAGGGCAAGUCUGGUGCCAGCAGCCGCGGUAAUUCCAGCUCCAAUAGCGUAUAUUAAAGUUGUUGCAGUUAAAAAGCUCGUAGUUGAAACUUGGGCCUGGCUGGCGGGUCCGCCUCACCGCGUGCACUCGUCCGGCCGGGCCUUCCUUCUGAAGAACCUCAUGCCCUUCACUGGGCGUGCUGGGGAACCAGG